UCCGCCUUAUCGACGGCAGUCUCCCUAGAGUGCCCAACUAUACUUGCUGGCAACUAGGGACAAGGGUUGCGCUCGUUGCGGGACUUAACCCAACAUCUCACGACACGAGCUGACGACAGCCAUGCAGCACCUGUGCACCAGCCCCGAAGGGAAGGUGUAUUUCUACACCAGUCUAGUGCAUGUCAAGUCUGGGUAAGGUUCUUCGCGUUGCAUCGAAUUAAACCACAUGCUCCACCGCUUGUGCGGGCCCCCGUCAAUUCCUUUGAGUUUCAACCUUGCGGUCGUACUCCCCAGGCGGAGCACUUAAUGCGUUAGCUGCGGCACGGGAGGGGUCGAUGCCUCCCACACCUAGUGCUCACCGUUUACAGCUAGGACUAC
rnacentral:misc_RNA from 1 species